UAGUGGUGCCAAUAUAAAAUAAAAAUAAACUAAAAUAAAUAAAUAUGCAAGUAUUUUGUUGAUAUUUUAUGCAACCUAAAAUUAUAACUAUUAAUAAAAUUAUCAAUUUGAUACUUUUUAUGUUCAUGAUUUGGUAAUAAUUUAUUAAAACUUAAUUUAGUUACCCAAGUAACUUAUGCAAAUUGACCGGACUGGAUAAACG
rnacentral:misc_RNA from 1 species